rnacentral:rRNA from 1 species
GUAGAUAUAUGGAAGAACACCAGUUGCGAAGGCGGGAACUUGGGCCACAACUGACGCUUAGGCUCGAAAGUGUGGGGAGCAAAUAGGAUUAGAUACCCUAGUAGUCCACACCGUAAACGAUGGGUGUUAAACGUCGGGAUUUAAUCUCGGUGUUGUAGUUAACACAUUAAACACCCUGCCUGGGUAGUACAUUCGCAAGAAUGAAACUCAAACGGAAUUGACGGGGACCCGCACAAGUGGUGGAGCAUGUUGUUUAAUUCGACGAUACACGUAGAACCUUACCUAGACUUGACAUCCUUGGCGAAGUUAUAGAAAUAUAAUGGAGGUUAACCGAGAGACAGGUGGUGCAUGGUUGUCGUCAGCUCGUGUCGUGAGAUGUUGGGUUAAGUCCCGCAACGAGCGCAACCCUUAUCGUUAGUUAUUUUGUCUAACGAGACUGCCAACG